GCCCCACACUUAUUGGCCAGCUCGCCGCCAAUCAGCGGAGGCUGCCGGGGGCCGCCUAAAGAAGAGGCUGUGCUCUGGGGCUCCGGCUCCUCAGAGAGCCUCGGCUAGAUUGUUCCUUAAGGAGAGGACAGUGCUUGUUUAAGGCUGUAUCCCUGCUGUCUGAGCAGAACCAGGUCUUCGAGAUCAACACACUUUUCGUAAUACCAAGCUGUUGCCUUUUACAUUCUCAGAAGCAAACAGACACAUGAUUCUCACUGACAAUACUGUCACUAUGUUAAAUGCUGCUAUGCAGUUUGGAUUUUUCUAAGGUAGUUUAGGUAUGGAGUAUGUGUUUUUUAUUAAUUAACUGUCUAGGUUAUGCCUUCUAUAAUCUAUACAGUUGUUAUUUUUAAAUCUUGUAGCUUUGUAUAUAAGGACAAAGGUAUUUUAUUGUCAUAACGUUUUGAGCAUUUCCCCAAAGUUCCAAAUUAUAAAACUGCAACUUUAGAACUUAAUUAGAAAGAGGGUUGUGGUUUUAUAAGAAGACACUUAAUUGUUCCACUAAUCUUAUUUGUGUUUUAAGAUAUUAUAUAAACUGACAAGUAUGGAAGAGUCGGUCAAGAAACUUAGGGAGUGAAAUGUAUCCUGGCGUUCGAGAUCAUUUAACUGGGCAUGUCCUUUGCAACACCCUAACUGGAGUAGUGUUGGCACCAGCUGUGUUGUGGAGUCAUUCCAAUGAGUGUUGGACUGUUUUGAACGCUACUGAGUAAUUUAAAUUCAGACUUCUGGUGUUCCAUAAAACAAAACUGUCAUAAGUUUCAAACCAGAAAUUUAAAAACUGAAUAUUUCAGAAGAAAAUUAUUUGCUGUAUUAGCUGGAGAAAUGUAUAAUGGCUAAGAAUUUAGAAACUAUACAGUUGACAUUGCUGAGUAUCUGCCAGAUGAAAAGAAAUGCUCAUAGUGGUUCUUUUGAACAGUAUAGUUAACUUGUUAAAGAUUUUCCCCACAGAUACACACUCUAAUAAGAUAUACGUAACACUUUUCAAAUGGAUGCAGCUACAAACAUGGUUGGACUUGUUACUGUGCUUUUAUUUAUUUAAUGUGAAAGCUUGGCAAUAAACCUAUGUCCUAAAAUA